UACGAAGGGGGCUAGCGUUGCUCGGAAUCACUGGGCGUAAAGGGCGCGUAGGCGGCCAGAUAAGUCCGGUGUGAAAGUCACAGGCUCAACCUGUGAAUGCCGCUGGAAACUGUCUGGCUUGAGUCCGGAAGGGGCGAGUGGAAUUCCUGGUGUAGCGGUGAAAUGCGCAGAUAUACAGGAGGAACACCAAUGGCGAAGGCAGCUCGCUGGAACGGUAGCUGAC
rnacentral:rRNA from 1 species